UGCUAUUUCUACGGACUAGAAGAAGAAGAAAAAGAUGAUAUUGGAGUCAAUGGAUGAGGAAGAACAGCUGCUUUUGAGCCUGCUUGCAA